rnacentral:ncRNA from 1 species
GAAAGCCGUAUGAGGGAAAACCUCACGUACGGAUUGGUCGAUGAGGUGAGAUUAACGAGUCGUAAGUCAUUGCGGAUUAGAGGUUUUACUUUAAUCGAG